rnacentral:rRNA from 1 species
AGCAGCCGCGGUAAUUCCAGCUCCAAUAGCGUAUAUUAAAGUUGUUGCAGUUAAAAAGCUCGUAGUUGAAUUUCGGGGUUAGUAGGUUGGUCAUGCCUUUGGUAUGUACUGGUGUCACUGAUUCCUCCCUUCUGAAGAACCGUUAUGCCAUUUAUUUGGUGUGGCGGGAAAUCAGGACUGUUACUUUGAAAAAAUUAGAGUGUUUAAAGCAGGCUCGCGCUUGAAUACAUUAGCAUGGAAUAAUGAAAUAGGACGUUUGAUCUUAUUUUGUUGGUUUCUAGGAUCGACGUAAUGAUUAAUAGGGAUAGUUGGGGGCAUUAGUAUUCAAUUGUCAGAGGUGAAAUUCUUGGAUUUAUUGAAGACUAACUACUGCGAAAGCAUUUGCCAAGGAUGUUUUCAUUAAUCAAGAACGAAAGUUAGGGGAUCGAAGACGAUCAGAUACCGUCGUAGUCUUAACCAUAAACUAUGCCGACUAGGGAUCGGAUGAUGUUAUUUUUAAUGACUCAUUCGGCGCCUUACG